rnacentral:lncRNA from 1 species
GCAAAGCCUUCAUUAAGUGCUUUAUAAAUGACAUUGCCCACUGUACAUCAAAGGUGAGGUUUCUUUAGCCUGUCUCUUAUUUUAUCCUUUUCCUUUCUUUCCUUACAAUUAACCAUUCUCUUCUUCUCAUUAGGUGAGUACAAUAAUGACCAUAUCCCUCUAGUGGAAAUUCAAGUAAAAGGAGAAUUUUCUAGCUAAGCAUGUUGGGUUAGAAGGUUCUUUGGCUGCUCUAUAAGAGUCAAACACAUCUGUCAAUGUCUUGGUUACCCAUUUCUCAAAAAUUUAGGAAAUCAUGAAAGAUUUAUUCAUAAUUCAAAUCAAAAGGGACAUUUUCUAGAAGAAAUCUAUCCUACAGUCUAACCAAACGAAAGCUUCCUAUCAGGAGAACACUACCCAUACUAACUGAUUGGAUUCCUCCUAAAGCAACAGUAUAAGAUCCAAAAUCAUAUUUGUACUUCUCGCCAGUGCAUUACCUAUUCUGUUGCUCUUCUCCUUAUCUUCUAGGUGACUAAGGCUUAGAUUCAUCAUCUAAAAAAAUAACUGAAUACACUAGCAGCUAAGAUGAAAAAUAAGAAAGAGAAACUCCUAUUAACAAAAGUAUAAUAUAUCUAAUACACUCACGCUCGAGUCUUCUAUGAGGUUCAAAAGGGAAACUUAGUUUUUGAAAUGGAAAUCACCAAGUCCCAAAACCUUGUCAUUGCUUUAGUAGAACGAGACCAGGUAACAAAGAGCCUGCAUUUCUUAAAAGAGAAUAUAUAUGAGCUCGAGUGCAUAAAUUAGAUUUAUUUUUGGGGCUAUGCCUCUAUAACUAUAUUUUUGGGUCAUGUAUUAAAAUUUACCUAUGUUUUUGCUUUUGAAAAUAAAUACUUCCCUAUUUUUUAUGUUAUAUUAUCCCCAAUGCAUUUAGUUUUCGCAUUUAGUUCAUUUUAGGGAAUAUGAGAAGGAUUUUUAAAAGCCGGACACAGGAGAUAGAGACUAUAGAACCAUCUUGAUUCCUGUGGUUUUCAAUGUGGCAACAUCCGUCGAGUUAUGAACCUCUUGAUUUCUUUUAUUUAAUGACAACUUUCCUAUAAAAGGAUUAUUUUUUAGGGUUUCAUUCAUGCCUAUCUUUCUUUUCUUUCAUCUAUCUAAAAGAAGAAAUACUUAUAAGGGUCUAUACUUUGAACCAUCGAGGGCCUCCUGCUAUCCUCCACUCAAUUUUGGAUCUUAUAUUUCUUUUAAAUUGGGGAUUUUUCUUACCAUAUAUUUCCUUGCAUAUGAUACAAGAAUAGGUUAAGGACUAUUUUGAGGGACCAAGGUCGAUGACCAUUGGUGUGGGCUCAUCCAAUUAUUUUGCUCCUCAGUGGUCCUGGAAACUGAAACCAUUUCCUUUUCUGGACGGUUAAAGACUCACUUUUGUUUAUGAUGCCCUUAUCAAUUUCUAAUUGAACAAUGUAAAGGUAUCCUCUUUUGAGGAAUACUACUAUAGGGUGAAUUCUCUAGAGGUUCAUAGGGUCGUUUGCCAUUCUUUGCCUCUUUUUUAAGAUUGCUCUAGGUCCCAUUCUCGAAGUUUCUACCUUCUAUUAGGUCCCAUUCUCGAAGUUUCUACCUUCUAUAUGCCCUUUCCAUACGAGUCUUUGCUUCUACGACAAUAAG